AGAGUUUGAUCCUGGCUCAGGAAGAACGCUGACAGAAUGCUUAACACAUGCAAGUCGACUGGAAUUCUUCUUCGGAAGAUAGUACGGUGGCGGACGGGUGAGUAACGCGUAAAGAAUUUGCCCUUCAGACUGGGACAACUAAUCGAAAGGUUAGCUAAUACCGGAUAUUAUGAGAUCUUGGCAUCAAGAACUUAUGAAAGCUAUAUGCGCUGGAGGAGAACUUUGCGUUCCAUUAGGUAGUUGGUAGGGUAAUGGCCUACCAAGCCGACGAUGGAUAGCCGGCCUGAGAGGGUGAACGGCCACAAGGGGACUGAGACACGGCCCUUACUCCUACGGGAGGCAGCAGUGGGGAAUAUUGGACAAUGGACCAAAAGUCUGAUCCAGCAAUUCUGUGUGCACGAUGAAGGUCUUCGGAUUGUAAAGUGCUUUCAGGUGGGAAGAAGAAAGUGACGGUACCACCAGAAGAAGCGACGGCUAAAUACGUGCCAGCAGCCGCGGUAAUACGUAUGUCGCAAGCGUUAUCCGGAAUUAUUGGGCGUAAAGCGAGUCUAGGCGGCUUGUUAAGUCAGAUGUGAAAAUGCGGGGCUCAACUCCGUAUUGCGUUUGAAACUGGCAGGCUAGAGUACUGGAGAGGUGGGCG
rnacentral:rRNA from 1 species